rnacentral:rRNA from 1 species
UACGAAGGGGGCUAGCGUUGCUCGGAAUUACUGGGCGUAAAGCGCACGUAGGCGGUCUUUUAAGUCGGGGGUGAAAUCCUGGAGCUCAACUCCAGAACUGCCUUCGAUACUGGAAGACUUCGAGUCCGGGAGAGGUGAGUGGAACUGCGAGUGUAGAGGUGAAAUUCGUAGAUAUUCGCAAAGAACACCAGUGGCGAAGGCGGCUCACUGGCCCGGUACUGACGCUGAGGUGCGAAAGCGUGGGGAGCAAACAGG